UUUGAAAAUAAUUUAAAGUAGGGCCUGCCCACUGAGUAAUUGAAGGGCCGCAGUAUUUUGACUGUGCAAAGGUAGCAUAAUCAUUAGUUUUUUAAUUGAAAGCUUGUAUGAAUGGUUUGAUGAGAAAGAAACUUUCUAUAUUUAAUUUUUUAAUAAUUUUAUUUUUAAGUUAAAAAGCUUAAAUUUUUUUAAUAGACGAGAAGACCCUAUAGAGUUUAAUUUUUAAAUAAAUUUUAACUUUAAGGAUUUUAUAGAUAUAAUUUAAAUAAUAAUUUGAUUGGGGUGAUUGAAAAAUUAAAAUAACUUUUUUUAUAUUUUUACAUAUAUUUAUGAAUUAUUGAUCCAUAUAAAUGAUUAAAAGAAUAAAUUACCUUAGGGAUAACAGCGUUAUUUUUUUUUAGAGUUCAAAUCGAAAAAAGAGAUUGCGACCUCGAUGUUGGAUUAAAAUUUAUUUUAGGUGCAGAAGCUUAAAAAUUUGGUCUGUUCGACCAUUAAAAUUUUACA
rnacentral:rRNA from 1 species